UUUACUUCAAAAGUAUUUUCCCGCAUAAUCCAUGUUUCUUCAAUACAUUCUCGACAGAAAAAUUGACAUUUCAGUGCAUUUUGAGCUAUUUUGAUAGAAAAUAAUGCGAGUUCCCUUGCAACGAGAAUAAUCCGAUACCGCCGGCGAGCCGUGUUCAUUUAACUUAAUUACAACUUGCAAAUUUGAGCUGAUUUUUCCGUCACUUUACAUAUUUUAAUGUAUCUGUCACAGCUUUUUUUAAUGCAAAUUCCACUGGAAACAACGGGUCUUCUGGAGGAUACAAGCACUUGGGCUGGUCCCAACCACCUACACCCAGGAUGAGAAGAGGUUUCAUACUCGACAAGCGAUGGCCUUGGCUUUCCAUUUCUUUCACGAGCAGAAAUGAUACCGAGUUCCAAUGACUUGGGCAUCAGAGCAGCAGUCCCUUUAUCGAUGAGCUCUUUGAGACCACCUGAAUUGCAAGCUCUGUAUGGCCAGUUCAUGUGUGACAAAAUAAAAGAUGAGGAAGGGUUGAAAAUCCCUCCAGCUAAGUUAGGGAUCAUGUAAUUGCCAUGGAAACCAAAUAUAGUAACGUAUAACAGGUUGUAUAUUCCUGAAAGGGCAAUUGUUGGAUAAAUGUUAAUUUAUAUUGGCACUAAAGUAAUUUUAAGAUCGUCCUUAGCUUUACAUAAACACCAAGAGCAGAAUAUUGUUCCCAGUUGGAAUUGUGUCAUAUUUAUUAUCAUAAGAGUAUUAUCAUAAUUGUGGUAAUGUAUUCCUAUUUGAAAUUUUGAACCAGUAUAAAUGUGGGAUAUGUUUUAUAUACACUGAAGUUCAAUAUGUGUUACUAUGUAAUUUUAGAUCUGAUCAAGUUUACCUUAAUGUUACUUAAUAAAACCCACUUAACUCCAAAGAAGUAUUUUGAAUAUUUGGUUCUUGCACUAUUUUGUAUCUCUUUUCUCGCUGAAUAUUUACCUUUUAUUGAGAGCUGCGGUGACGGGUUCCAUGACAUUUGCUCUGGCAAAUUCCACACCAUAAUCUUAUGAACAGCUUCAACCAGCAAGGUCUAAA
rnacentral:lncRNA from 1 species